AAUCAAUUAGUCUAAGGUAAGGACAUUUAUUUUCAAAAUAAAAAGUGAUUUUGUCAUUGGUUG
rnacentral:tRNA from 1 species